ensembl:lncRNA
AGGCAGAUGGUGUGAUUUGGCCGCGCGCCAGCGCGUAGCUCCGACCUGGAAGCUUGCGAACGUGCCCUGCAGCCGGAUGGGCGCCGAUGGGAGGGGCCCCUGCGGGAGCGACUGGGCGGGCACUUGGAGAGGACUAGGACCAGCCAGACCACGGGAUGCCCAAGGCACCCUUUCCCUUCCUGGAAUAGCGCUCCUCUCCCACGGCCAAAGCAGAGGCAAAGCCAGCCUUUCCCCAAUUCUCUGAAAGGUGAGCAGGGAGUGAAGCUCUCCGUUUCCCCCCGGGGGAAACUGAGGCUUGGAAAGAUUAGGGGACUUAAGGCUGGACACAGAGCUGUUAAUAUAUGGAGCCAGAUGGAAACCCAAGUCUUCCGAGCUCCAGGCCCACCGUUGGCUGGCACUGCCCCAGUUCCUCAGACCACUCUGGCCAAUAUCUGCCGCCAGGAUGGGUGUCACGCUGCAUCACGCCAGCUUCCGAACCAACCGGGGUAAUCUAUGAGAAUGACCUUUUUGCCAUUCAAAUCCCUCUUGACUUUUCUGCUCUGACCGACCUGAGCUGGCCGCUGCUGACUACCGUGACCACUGCUCAGCUGGGAAAGGGUGGAGCAGCAGCUGCCCGGACGCCCCGACGCCCAGAGCUUCCCCCAGCUCGGCAAGAAUAAAUCUCCGGAGAAAUAGAUUUUGAAGAGGAAUUUGGUACAUAGAUCUUCUGUCAGCAGAGCAGACUCUGGCUCAGCCGUUUUUCAGGCUCGCUGCUUAUCCAGAAAUACAUCUAUUUCUAUGUGGAUCUCUAGCGAGAUUUCCUCUUCCCUCCUGGGGUGGGAGGGGGCGCAGGCAACCCAACAGGUCUGGGCGUGUGGGGGCGGGGCCUGCGGUGGCCUCAGGGGGCUGGCCAGGCCCAUGAUCUGUCUGGGGAACACUGGGGCUCGGGCGGAGGGAAGCAGUGCUGAACCCUGGGCCUCCAGGCCUUCCUCCAGCCAUCCGCAGGCAUCCUGCCCCAGCCCGUCUUGGAACGUGAGCCGGCCUCCCAAAGCCUCCACCACUGAACCAGCCCCUCUGCACCGCCUAUGCCCACCUCCCUGACCCCUGAUCCUGAAGUCCACUGAGACCUGAGCUAUGGACACCUCCCAGGCCCACAGGUCCGCGCAGACUCGCAAGGACAUGCACACAUCGAGGGCCCGCAGCCGGCGCCUGCAAAGACUGCACCCGUCCUUUGCUGCUGGUUUAUUCCGGGCCUGCCUGUUGGCAUCCGGCCACCGCAAACAGUGGGAGCCGGCUCUGAGCAGCCCCGCGGACCAGCGGGUGACAUGGCUGGCGGGGGCUCUGAGCGGUGUGCUGUGGCAGGCAAUUAGGCCUCAAACAAUGGCUCUGGAAAUGUCAGAAGUAGCGGGGAGGCUGGGAUUCACAUGGGCGUUUGGCACAUGGAGGGCCCCAGGGGCUGACACUGCACUGACGGAGCUAAGAGGAAGGGGGCUGACAAGGGUGCUCUCCAUCUCCCAGAGGACCCUUUGGCUGGGGAGACACCCUUGUGCCUCCUUUCCCCAGACCCCUGGAAUCAGAUAACUCCUUUCACUCCAGGAGCUUUUGUGCUGUGGAGAACCAACCCCUCACACACACCAGAUACUCGGGAGGGAAGAUGGUUCCAAAAUAAGAAGGACCCCAGGUCCCCCCCCCCCUACUUGGCCUGUCCUCUGUCCCCAAAUUCUGUUCUAAGAAGCCCACAGCCCGUGCCCAGCCAGGCCCACCCAAGGCCCCGGCUCUGGACUCCAGCCCCUGCCACUUUGGGGACCUUGUUCCGGAAUCAUGCCCCUCCCUCUCCUCCAGCAGUGCCAGUUACUUCCUCUGCUGUUUUCCUGGCCUUGCCCCCUCCCUCCAUGCUGACAUACAGUGCCUGUGGGCCCCACUGAGCCUGGUGGGUGUCCCCACUCUCUCCCUCCACACCACCAAGUCUCUCCUCCCGGUCUCACUGAGAAAUACCUGUUCCCCAUAGAGAACAGACUUUGGUUGGAAAACGGGAGAGGAGGCAGGGAAGGGAAUGGAUUGGGAGUCUGGAAUUAGCAGAUGCAGACUGUUAUACAUAGGAUGGAUAAACAAGGUUCUCCUGUACAGCACAGGGAACUAUAUUC